UGGGGAAUAUUGCACAAUGGGCGCAAGCCUGAUGCAGCCAUGCCGCAUGUGUGAAGAAGGCCUUCGGGUUGUAAAGCACUUUCAGCGAGGAGGAAGGUGGUGAACUUAAUACGUUCAUCAAUUGACGUUACUCGCAGAAGAAGCACCGGCUAACUCCGUGCCAGCAGCCGCGGUAAUACGGAGGGUGCAAGCGUUAAUCGGAAUUACUGGGCGUAAAGCGCACGCAGGCGGUUUGUUAAGUCAGAUGUGAAAUCCCCGGGCUCAACCUGGGAACUGCAUUUGAAACUGGCAAGCUAGAGUCUCGUAGAGGGGGGUAGAAUUCCAGGUGUAGCGGUGAAAUGCGUAGAGAUCUGGAGGAAUACCGGUGGCGAAGGCGGCCCCCUGGACGAAGACUGACGCUCAGGUGCGAAAAGCGUGGGGAGCAAAACAGGAUUAGAUAACCCUGGUAGUCCACGCUGUAAAACGAUGUCGAUUUUGGAGGUUGUGCCCUUGAGGCGUGGCUUCCGGAGCUAACGCGUUAAAUCGACCGCCUGGGGAGUACGGCCGCAAGGUUAAAAACUC
rnacentral:rRNA from 1 species